UACUAUGAUUUCUCUCUGUGAAACCACAAAGAAGAAGAAAAUCAUUAGGAAUUGGAGGUCCGUGUCAUCUGAUGAACAUAUCUAGAAUGGCAGCUUAGCCAUCAUUUACCAGGGAACCUUGGAAGGAGGAAGGAGGAAGGGAGCAAGAUCCCAAUCAGAGGGAAACUUCUGGAGAUUUUGUGUCAAAGGAAGCAUUAAGGCUGUAUUGUUUUUAAAUGAAGAAAACCCAUGAAAAUUAAAGCAAUUUCUGUGCUAUCAAAAGAAAAAAAAAGUUUGAAAAGAUGGGAGUACAUUUUUGAAAACAAUAUUACAGAAUUCGUGCUACUGGGCUAGAAAAUGGAGGACUUUUGUUUAUCAGUGGAGAAAGGGAC